GGGGGCGACUUGGUAUCGACGGAGAUACUGAACCUUGUGGGGCAUGUCGGGAUGGCACUCUCGUUAAAAAGGCUACUUGCAAUAAUUGCAAACGACGACGUAGAACUAGCUUACGCUGCGUAAGUUACCCCGCUCUUGAGGUGUCCAUCCAUUGGGAAUCCGGGGUCAUUUAGAUGGAAUCGCCACUGCAGAACGGAGACUCGUGGUCUGUAGGGUUAAAUAGCUACGAAUCGACCCUUUGGGCAUUUUGUCCGUUUGGUUCUCAAGGGGUGCUGUUCGAACGGACUAAACAUGUAGAACCACAGGCUGAUGGUUUUCGGACGCGGGUUCGAGUCCCGCCGCCUCCACCA
rnacentral:tmRNA from 1 species